CCCCACUCCCCAACAAACCCAAGCCCCAUUCCUCUCCUCUCUGAAAAUGAAGUGAAAAUUGGAAAUUGAGAGAACAAAGAACCCUAGCCCCCAGCCCCGCAACCACCGCAGCCCCAUAGCCCACAGCCACACUUCGUUGUCAUCACCGAACUCGUCUUCAUUAGGUAGAGGCGUCGCAUGCAGAAGCUCUGUCGCCAUCACAUGGGCUGUGUCGCCAUUGUAGGAAGCUCUGUCGCCGUCCUAGGAAGCUGUGUCACCGUCCUAGAAAGCUCCCUGCCGUCAUGUGAAAGCUCUAUGACCGUCGUCGUCUCUUCUAUUUGAGCGCUCUCUCUCUCUUUCUGUUUGUCGGUGUCGUCGUCUCCUCUGUCGUCGCCGUCACUCCCCUUCCUCCUCGCCGCCGUAGGUGGUGUCCUUUUUGUCCUUAAAGAGGCAGCUUCAUGGUGGAGGAGUGCUCUUCUGUGGAGGACAUUUUUCACCACAGCAGUAGUUGUUAUUGUUUUAAGAGCUACAAUUCAGCUUUGUGCCACCAGUAAAUGCAGCUUAUUCGGAGAAGGUGGUCUGAUAAUGUAUGAUGUUGGUUCUUCCAAGGUAAC